AGGUCCUUUUGGGAAGUAACGACUUGAGGGAGAGAGUGACGUUACACAUUGAUACAGAGACACAACGAGGUUGAGCUGAUGUGAUGAUGGUGCUGCAAUGAGCGGAGUCUCCAGGGUUGUUAAUAAAUAGUUAACCUGUCUAGAAUAUGUCUUCAUACAUAUGUCUAGCUACUUUCCGCUGCAAGAUGUUGUUAAUGUUAUAGUAUGUUAUGUCAUACUUUGAGUCUUAAGAGAAUGGUUUCAUAUGAUGUAUAACUUGAUUAAUGAUAUUAAUUAAGUUUUAUGUUGUCUUUCA